GGGAGCACGCUUAGGCGUGUGACUGCGUACCUUUUGUAUAAUGGGUCAGCGACUUAUAUUCUGUAGCAAGGUUAACCGAAUAGGGGAGCCGAAGGGAAACCGAGUCUUAACUGGGCGUUAAGUUGCAGGGUAUAGACCCGAAACCCGGUGAUCUAGCCAUGGGCAGGUUGAAGGUUGGGUAACACUAACUGGAGGACCGAACCGACUAAUGUUGAAAAAUUAGCGGAUGACUUGUGGCUGGGGGUGAAAGGCCAAUCAAACCGGGAGAUAGCUGGUUCUCCCCGAAAGCUAUUUAGGUAGCGCCUCGUGAAUUCAUCUCCGGGGGUAGAGCACUGUUUCGGCAAGGGGGUCAUCCCGACUUACCAACCCGAUGCAAACUGCGAAUACCGGAGAAUGUUAUCACGGGAGACACACGGCGGGUGCUAACGUCCGUCGUGAAGAGGGAAACAACCCAGACCGCCAGCUAAGGUCCCAAAGUCAUGGUUAAGUGGGAAACGAUGUGGGAAGGCCCAGACAGCCAGGAUGUUGGCUUAGAAGCAGCCAUCAUUUAAAGAAAGCGUAAUAGCUCACUGGUCGAGUCGGCCUGCGCGGAAGAUGUAACGGGGCUAAACCAUGCACCGAAGCUGCGGCAGCGACGCUUAUGCGUUGUUGGGUAGGGGAGCGUUCUGUAAGCCUGCGAAGGUGUGCUGUGAGG
rnacentral:rRNA from 1 species